CUGUACUUGAGAUAUUUCACUGAGUGGGAGACAAAGAGGCUUUGUGUGCUCUUCAAAGUGCUCUCUGCUGACUGUGAUACACAUCCAGGAAAAACCCAGACCAAAGCCAUGAAGUCACCCCAAGUUCAAACCCAAAAUGCAAUUUGCAGUGGUUAGAAAUGACAAAGGAUGGGUGGUAGGAUCCAGAGAAAAAACAGUGAAACCCGAUGGACCUUAAAUAGAUCUGAGGGCACUGAUUUGAUUAUUUUGGGUGAAAUCUUUUAAGAAAAUCUUGUCAGAUUCUUCACAGAAAAUUUGGUAAAGCCUAUAUUUCAUCGCCAGCCUAGCAAAGGCAAGCUGGCAAACAGGGAAACAAGGAGAACUGUGUGCUCAGCCCUCCAGAGUGGCACGGAUUAUGAGGAGGUGAUGGUCCUUCCCCGCCAAGAUCCUGAGACACUGUCACUCCGGAAUCCAAAAAGAGAUUCAGUUCACCUUGUGCCCAACCUUCUGUCUCCCUGAGUCAGACCUGCAGACGAUUGCAUGCCACCAGCUGUCUUCACUCCUGAGAACAUGACACAAAGGAAUGCUCCCUGUCAAGUUCUUCAUUAUCCUUCUGAUGAAUUUCCCCUGGUUUAAACAAGUUGGUGGUAGACAGACCUUUCUCGCAUUUUCACAGACGUGCCAGGAGGAAACCCAGCGUCUCUCAGUUUCCUUUAAAUAUAUGAGAUACCAUGAAAGGAUUUGAGCGUUUUUUUAUGUGAAUCCAAAGAUGACAUUUACAAAAGGUGGAGAAGCAGUUCCCUACUGAGGGACGUGGAUACAAAAAGCAGAUGACACAACACAUCCCAUAGAGUUCCCAGGGAAGAAUGAACCCAGAUUCUUGACCUGCAGAGGUGGCGUACUGGCUGGAGAAAUCUCUGGCUGGCGACCGUGCUAUUCUGUCUGUCCACCUAACUGUGGGCUCCCAGAUCACCACUGCCAUGGGCAGGGGGCCGUGGGGUGGGCCUGCUUGGGGUGACAGGCUAGCUGUGCUCCCAUAGCAGAGGUGGGAGAAGGGAAUCACAUCUGGUGAGCAGCUAUGUCGUGCCAGGCACUGUGCUGUGUAUUGCACACAUCUCAAACCUUGUGACAAAUGUGUAAGAUAUUUUUUAUGUAUUACAAAUGAAGGAACUGGGCUCAGAAAAGCUCCAUUAUUUGCCCAAAUUGCAGCAGUAAUGCAGGAAUUUGAAUCCACAUUAAUCUGACUCCACAACCCAUGUUCUUUCACUGAAUUCCCAUAUCCUUGUUCCCCCUACUGUCCUCACUGGUCAAGGUGAGCUUGGUCUUCCACAAACAGGCUAGAAAAGUAUGCUUACUUAUCUUUAGCUUUAUGCUUUUAAACUAAUUCUUAAAAAUCUUCUCUGGAUAAGUCAAAGACAAUGGGAAUGUGUAUUUCUAAUACAUUAAUUAUAAUACAUUACCGGUUUACACAAUGCCAUCACCUUGUCAUUUUCUUUGACACAACGUCCCCCUCCCCUCUAGUUUAUAAAUGAGGACAUUGAGGCACAAAGUGGGUAAGUGACUUGCCCAAGGGGGAGAUUUGUCCAAUCAUAAAGAUGGGCCUGAACUUUUUCUACUUUGCAUUCUUACUUGAAAGGCAGGAAACAUAUGCUCAAGAGGGAGAUCUCACGAAAUUUCAUGUCAUAUAGUGCUCUCGCUAAUUUAAUCCUGUCAUUCCUGGUUAUAUCCCUUUGGAAAAACCACCACCAGUGCCUUCUCUUUUGAUAUAUUUACAGUAAAAAUAUUCCCUGUACAAACCAUCUCACUCUUUCACAGGGAACUGGCUUGGCCCUCUCCCCUGAAGUGGGUUGCACAUCCACCCAGCCCACCCCCAGCUCACUCUAGCUCCCUUCCUGUUAGAAUUUAUUCAGAACCUCCAUUUCUAGGAGGAAGCAAGGAGGGGGCAGUUAUCUUCGUGGACUUGGGUCCUCCUGGACCCUUUGUCCUCAUGGUUAUGUUUCAAACAGAGUUGAGGGCUCCCUAAAGGGGAAAGAUUAUUUAAGUUUUGUAAAUGCUGCCCUCCAAAAACCACUCCACAUAAAUGUUUCAUGGCUUAGCCUCUGUGAGGCCAGAGCUGGAACAUUCAGCUGUGAGGGUGUUUAUAUUUGUGGAACUCUCUUGAACAUUUGCUGUGGGUUUUAAACAGCUGCUAUGCUGAAGCUCUGGGGAUAGGAAGAUCAUGAAUAUUCAGGUGAAGCCACCAGAAUGAACAGCCGUUAAUAGAAUAAAUGCCUAAACAGUUGUGUAAGGCUUAUUAAGACCUAUUGGGGCUGAGAUAAUAAAUUCCCACUCUGACAUGUUGCAACUACUGUCGCUUAAACACUUUGGACCACCUCUUCUGAACUGAAGGAAAAAAUGAUGUUAGUUCUCUGCGCGAAUACAAAGAAACACCUGGAAGCCUUGGCAAGGGGAUGAGAUUUGGCAGAGAUCUUUCCGUGUACCGAUGCAUCCUCAGGAAAAUGAUGUGCCGCUCAUUGUUCCUGUUGUCAAGGUUAUCGCAGUCGACUUCAGGCUGGAACGGGCAUUGCUCUUGCACUGAAGAAAGUCUGUCCUGACUCCCUCAGAGUGCCUCAACAUCAACCAAGAGCCACCGUGAACCUCUGGGGCACUGAGCCUGGCCACCAGCACCCCCACCCCAGCCCAUAUGGCCUGGGCCUCUCCCUUGAUGUUUAAAGGAGAUGAUAAAAAUGCUGCAACCCAGAUAAUGAUCACCUUACUCUUCAAAAAUACUGCCCAAGUUCUUUGUUCAAGAUGCCAAGAACCUGGAUACCCUCCACUGGUAACAAAUAUGACUUUGUUUUUAGCAAGCAACUUUGCAGUGUAAUUAAGUUAAGGAUCUUGAGAUGAGAUCAUCUUGGAAUAUCUGGGUGGGCCCUAAAUCCAAUGACAAGUGUCCUCAUAGGAAGGGAAGAUACACACAGAGGAGAAGGUGGUGUGAAGAUGGAAGCCAAGACUGUUGAUACCAGUUGGAGAGCACCAAGAACUACCCGCAGCCACUGAAAGCUAGGAGAGAGGCAUAGGACUGUCUCCUUCAGACCCUCCAGAAAGACCAAACCUGCCCGUGCCUUGAUUUCAGACUUUUGGCCUCCCACAUUGUGAGAGAAUAAAAUUUUGUUUUUGAAGCCAU
rnacentral:lncRNA from 1 species